GUAAAGGAUCGGCCCGCGUUAGUUAGAUAGUUGGUGGGGUAAUGGCCUACCAAGUCUACGAUCUAUAGCUGGUUUGAGAGGAUGAUCAGCAACACUGGGACUGAGACACGGCCCAGACUCCUACGGGAGGCAGCAGUGGGGAAUCUUAGACAAUGGGCGCAAGCCUGAUCUAGCCAUGCCGCGUGAGUGACGAAGGCCUUAGGGUCGUAAAGCUCUUUCGCCAGGGAUGAUAAUGACAGUACCUGGUAAAGAAACCCCGGCUAACUCCGUGCCAGCAGCCGCGGUAAUACGGAGGGGGUUAGCGUUGUUCGGAAUUACUGGGCGUAAAGCGCACGUAGGCGGACUGGAAAGUUGGGGGUGAAAUCCCGGGGCUCAACCUCGGAACUGCCUCCAAAACUACUAGUCUAGAGUUCGAGAGAGGUGAGUGGAAUUCCGAGUGUAGAGGUGAAAUUCGUAGAUAUUCGGAGGAACACCAGUGGCGAAGGCGGCUCUCUGGCUCGAUACUGACGCUGAGGUGCGAAAGUGUGGGGAGCAAACAGGAUUAGAUACCCUGGUAGUCCACACCGU
rnacentral:rRNA from 1 species